rnacentral:rRNA from 1 species
AGACCCGAAACCCGGUGAUCUAGCCAUGGGCAGGUUGAAGGUUGGGUAACACUAACUGGAGGACCGAACCGACUAAUGUUGAAAAAUUAGCGGAUGACCUGUGGCUGGGGGUGAAAGGCCAAUCAAACCGGGAGAUAGCUGGUUCUCCCCGAAAGCUAUUUAGGUAGCGCCUCGUGAAUUCAUCUCCGGGGGUAGAGCACUGUUUCGGCUAGGGGGCCAUCCCGGCUUACCAACCCGAUGCAAACUGCGAAUACCGGAGAAUGUUAUCACGGGAGACACACGGCGGGUGCUAACGUCCGUCGUGAAGAGGGAAACAACCCAGACCGCCAGCUAAGGUCCCAAAGUCAUGGUUAAGUGGGAAACGAUGUGGGAAGGCCCAGACAGCCAGGAUGUUGGCUUAGAAGCAGCCAUCAUUUAAAGAAAGCGUAAUAGCUCACUGGUCGAGUCGGCCUGCGCGGAAGAUGUAACGGGGCUAAACCAUGCACCGAAGCUGCGGCAGCGACACUCAGGUGUUGUUGGGUAGGGGAGCGUUCUGUAAGCCUGCGAAGGUGGCCUGUGAGGGUUGCUGGAGGUA